GGAGAAUUAACAAAGUGCUGGAGGUCCACGUUCUCUGACUUUUAGGAAGAAGACAGCAGGGCCUUUCACGUUGGACCCCUUUGAUAAAGAUUCUUGGUUCUGCUCCGGGGCCUCAGUUGAUCAGUGGAGAGCAGCAGAUCAGCUCAUCAUUUAUGAGGCAAGGAACGGGGUUUGGAGGGUCUGCACCUGGCCUCAUCAGAGGCCACGGCUACCUUUACAACACCAAGCGGGAAUCGGUCCUGUUUUAUUACCUGGAGACGCAUGAAAAUAAGUGGAUGAAGCUCCUCAGUGAGUGGGGAGAGCGAGUAAGGCUGGGAAGGGCUCAGCUGCAGACAUUUUAAAAGCUGUUCUCCAGUUUGGGGUCCUGAUUCGGUGCACAAGAAUGACAAGCUUUCACAUUGGCAGCCUGGGAUUGUCCUCAGCGUCUUGGACACGGUGGCUAAGAAACUUCCUUAAUACAGGGAGGGACAGCAAAGGAUAGUAAAGGCUAUUUAAUUUACUGAGCCAAGUUCCUUUGCUGGCAUUGUGCAGAAGAAAACUGUA